AGAGUGCAGCAGGCAGACUGCAGCUGAAUGCUGAAGUCACCAGCUGAGAUGCAGUGUAUCACACACUACCUCUAUCCCUGGAGUGGCUCCCCUAUAGAUACAGACAAGCUGCUCCCAGGUCUCCCUGGAGUCUUCCCUUUUCCAGGCUGAACAGCUCCAGCUCUCUCAGCCUGUCCUCGUAGGAGAGGUGUUCCAUCCCUUGGAUCAUUUUUGUGCUCCUCCUCUGGACAGGCUCCAACAGGUCCAUGUAUCUCCUGCACUGAAGACUCCACAUCUGGAUGCAGUACUUCAGGCAAGGUGUCACCAUCACAGAGUAGAGGAGCAGGAUCACCUCCCUUGACGUGCUGACCAUGGGCCUCUUAAACUCCAUCAAAAAGCCCCACAAUAUGCCAGAAAUGUGUCAGAACUGAGUCAAAUCCACAGGGAGUCAUUAAGGAGGAAAAGUUAUUCCCACUGCUGGCCAGCUUCUUUGUGCUGUGCUGUCAAGCCCUGAGAAGAGAGCACAGGAGUGACUCUGAGGGUGUUGUGCGCUUGUGUUCAUAUGCUACUGCUGUGAAUGCAGUGACAUUUUUCUGGCUUUUUGUCAGCAGUCAGGCAGGUGUUCCUUCCCCCACUUGUUCUUCAUAGUGAGAGAUUUUCUGUCUUGGCCCCACUAAGGGUGUUACUCAUGAAAACUGGAUACCAUCGGACCCAUGUAGGACCAAUCUGGAUUUAAUGCAGCUUUGCCUGUAUACUUUUGCAUCUGUAUUCCGGGAUGACAGCCAUGUUUGUGAAAAACUGAGCAAGCAACAAGAGGAAAAAGAGAAAAUGCUCUCUGAAGAUCAUGUCAAAACUGUGGGCAAUGUCAGUGUCAUUUGAGUAGGGAGGUCAGACAGGCACCUUACCUCCUAACAGAGCAAAUGCAUCAUUUUUAAGAAACUGUCAGUGCUGAUUUGCUGGCAUUAUGGUGUCCUCUGCAUUGCAUGAUUUCCCACACACCUCUGCUCCAAAUAUAUGGUUAUUACAGACUGUGUGCAACCUUUGUGCUGCUUUGAUUCAUUUCAGAAGGCCACUUAGUGUAAAUGCUCAGUAAAGAUGAAGGAAGAGCAUUUGACUUUCAGACAAAGUCUUCAAUUUCCACCACAGGAGGAGGGCACGCCCCACCACGUGGCCCUGGCAGGAUCACAUAUUUUUUGCUGCACCUGGUCUUAGAGAUGAGAAAGAGAUGGGAGGAGUGAUGUUACAGGUGCUUAUCGCAGUUACAUGGUAAGGGUUGUGUUAAAAAACAGGAAAAGACUGCAUAAGCAAACUGUAGAAAGGCCGCAACAGCAUCUGUGUAAGAGAUAAUUCACCCAAUUUGCCCAGCUAAACAACUCUGUCAAGUUAACUGAGGGCUGCAAAAUUGGCAAACUGCCUCAUCUCCUGUGCAGCGGCAGCGUGGGCUUAACCCUUACACUUGCCUGUUGGAAGCACUGAAUUUGCAAACCUCAGGGCAGGAGGGAGAACCUUGUGCAGACUGUUGGUAUUAAUGACAAUUUCCAAUAGAGCAAAAGUAAGUUGGACAGGAAUCCCCUCACCAGCUGCAGACAUGACUGCCUUGGGCACGCCUGGGGUUGCACAGCCUGACGGGGAUGCACCAAGGGAUGUGGUCUAGCAGGAGGUGAGCAUCUGUCCCAGCCUCCAGCCAAGCUCCCUCCUCAACUUCCAUCAGAGCAAAGAACCUGCUUAGAGCUGUGUUUUUCACAGUUUUCAUUGCUUUUUCAUGUUUUAGCAAUAGCAACCACACCUGUUGAUGGAGCCCCUGCCUGGCUGUAAGGGUGUUGAUCUCUCCAGCAACUUUUGCUGGAGAGCAAUACAUUUGCAUACUAUUAUCUUGCUGUUGUGCAUGUGUUUGUGACAGGUAAUUGAUUCCUUAAGUUGCUUCUUUCUGAAGUUUCCCUCAAGAUGUGGCAUACUGAGAAAAAAAGAAACGAAAUUACCCUGUUGUAUGCACAGGCAUAGUGCUGAGCUAGUGAUGUGGGGAGCCCCAGGGAGAGACCAUGUACCUUGCUCACUCUUUGCUUCAGUAGCAAAUGUCUCAGGACUUACCUGGUUUCAGCUGUGCAUGUCUGGAGAUGGGCAAUGAAGCUGUGAAGGGUCUGGAGAAACUUAUGAGGAGCAACUGAGGGAACUGGGAUUGUUCUGCCUGGAGGAGAGGAGGCUCAGGGAAGACAUUAAUUGUCCUCUACAACUCCAUGAAAGGAGGUUGUGAUGAGGUGGGGGGUCAGCCCUUUCUCUCAGGUAGGGGGAGAUAAAACAAGAUGGAAUGGGAGAGACGUGAUCAGAGUGGUCAGAAAGGGCCACCCAACAAGGUGAUGGAGUCACCGUCCCUGGAGGCGUUCAAGAAGCGUGUGAAUGUAGCACUUAGGAAUGUGGUCAGUGAGCAUGAUAGGACUGGAUGACCUUAGUGGCCUUUUCCAACCUUAAUGAUUCUAUGCUUCUAUUCAAUCUAUCUAUUUGGAUCAAAUAUCCUGAUAAGGCCACAUUCAUGAAUGGAGAUAAGAGUCUUCUGCAUCAAGGAGGAAUUCAGUAUUCCUACACAUGUGGGCUGAACAACAGGCAGGUGUGUAAUCUGCGAUGUAGUCUGAAUUACAACUAAUCCCUCUUCAAAAUGAUAUCAGGAAAAAAAAAAUAUGUGAUACCAGUAAACAUCUUAGGAAGCUAAACAAUGGAAGAAGUUGGCAGGAUUAGGCUCACAUAGGAGAUUACGGUGGCAAAAGGGAAAUGACUGUAAAACGCUGACAUGGGAGAUAAAGUGCAAGUGAGAAUGGCAUUCACCCAAGGUCAUGUUUUUAGAAGGAAACAGAUGAACUGGAUGUGUGGCAUUUGUUCAAGAGAGCCUUUAAAUAAUGUGAUGCUGGAUGCCCUCUUACUAAGGCAGUACAGAAGAAGCAAUAGUUAAAUCAGACAUGUACAUGCGACAAAUGACAAAUGGGUUUUGUCAUGCUCCAGAAGCAACCUAAGAAUGGGAGAAUUUAAAUAUCUUCUCAAGAAAAGUGAAGUCUGAUAUAUUUUUAAAAGCAGAAGCUUCCUUUAACAAUAUGCUCAUGAAAAUCCAGAGUGCUACUGCCAGCACCAAAUUAUUCUCAUUGCAGGAAUGGGCUGCGUUGGAGUAAGCACAGGUAUUUUUAACAUGUUGAUGGUUAGCAGGGGGUAGACAUAUCCUAUGAGAAGAAUGAGUAAAGCUAUCUCAGGGUUUAUGAUAUAAUCCUGGGCAUGGAAACUAUGGUGUGCCUUCCAGCUGCACUGCGUAGGUCCUUAAUCAGUUUCAGUACCUUGUUACAGGAUGCAGACUUCAGCACUGCUUUGGCCCCUCGCAGUGUGACAAGUGAGCAUCAAGGUGUACCCUUCAACAUGGUGAGACGACACACUGUUGGGUGUAAAAAGGUUUUUAAAAAGGCAGCAUAAUGACAACACUUGGAACGAGACUUAGCUUUUCUUGUGGCUGAAGCCCUGUGUGUUCCUACCCUUUGUCAAAUAGCCGUGGAAAAAAAGUACAACAGUAAUUAAUAGUUACUAAUAAAUACCAUUAUUACUAAUAAUUAUUAUUGAUAGAUGCUUUUUGUUAGAAGAAUUGAAAAGGAAAACAAAGCAACUUGAUGCAUCUGGAAGGUAAAUUAUUAAGUAAUGCUCUCCAGAUAGCUUGAGUUUUAUUUUUAUUUUCUUCAUUUUAAAAGGAUUUUUGUUAGAAGCGUGCUGGAUUGCUGUGACCAUAGACAGCUCAGAUGAGAGGCUGCUAGUAGGAAGAACUGUCAUGUGCUGGUCAUCCAUGGCAGAGCAGCUCCUCUAAGUGAGCUGAUGGGAGGGAAAGAGGAAAUGUGCUAUAAACUACUUGUGCCUGUAGGAAUAAAGUGGAAAUUGCAAUGUGCACUGGUACUGUGAGCUCAGAUGCUUUUCUUCCUUGCUUCUAAUAAAGCAAAAUUA